ensembl:lncRNA H2AZ1-DT H2AZ1 divergent transcript
AGACAGAACAGGGAAGCCAGCAGGGGAAGAAAAAGAUGCUGCUGCUCUUGAUGCCUCAAAAACAGCAAGGAAGAACCCAAGCAACUGAUGUACACACCCUUGGAACAAAUCUGCCCCAGAAGUACAAGACACACUCUUCGAAUUCAUGGAAUAAAUGGGAGCUCCUGGCCACAGUGGGAGCCAUGAUCUCUCUCCUUUACAUGUGGCUGUAUUCCCAGAGCUUUCAUUUCCAUGUGGCACAUUUUUAUGCUCAUUUUGGGUACCCCAGUGCUCAGCAUAUUGUUAGGCAAAGAUACGUGAAAAGAGCUGGUGUAGUGAAGGAUGAAGAGAAGGCAAUGCAUUGGUUUAGACAAGCCUCCCAGCAGGACCAUCCUGGUGCUGCCUUUAACCUUGCAGUAGGAACACUGAAAAACAUGACUGCCUCCAUGGAAGCAGGGGAUGUAGAAAUGCUCCUUAAUGUUGCUGCAAAAUGGGGGAUCCAAGAAGCCCAAGAACUUCUGGAGAAUGUUAUUUGGACUAAAAGCAAGCUCUUGCCAACUGAAAGAACCAGGAGUUCUUAUAAACCAUAAUGUGUGCCUGCAUGCUCUUCCUGGAACAUGGGAUGUUCUGCUCUCACUUGUCCACUGUGGCCUUGCAAUGCUUUGUGGCAUUUUCAAUGGAAGCUCCUUUUACUUAUAGUCUCAUAUGCUGCUGCAGCAUUAAUUUGCUGGUUAAAAUCCUUUAAAUGAACAGUCCCCAACCUUUUUGGCACCAGGGACUUGUUU